CCACAGUGGAGACCGAAGCUCCUCCGCAUGCCCUUUUCUCCUUUCCCUCCCACAGCAAAUACGGCUUUCGUGACUGAGCGAGGCGCCAACCAGCCUGCGCCGCCGCCCUCUUAACCUUCCCUCCCCGGACUCGGGGCUCUUCCCAAAACUCGGCGGAGAGGCGUAGGGCGAGUGGGCGAGCCGGGAGUAGACGGAGGCGCGCCGUCGGACGUCCUCUCACAAGAUUGCGCCGCCUCGAUCCACGAGCUCCUCCUACGCCCUCAACUUCGGCCGGGAUCACGUGCAUUAAAUGAGCGGCUGUGGGGAGAGAUGAGGAGAGGCAAGAGAAAGCCAGCGAGUAGAACUUGGCUCUCUCUUUGGGGUUCUGACAUUAGCUCACACGAUGGAUCUGGUGGUCCCUAGAAACUUUUUCUGGUACUAGGCUCGUACUUGCUGCUUCUCGGGCACACCUGUGAGGGACCAGAUAACAAAAAUAUCUGUCUCCAGCCACCAGAAAAAGGGCCAUGCAAGGCAUCGCACAGGAAUUGGUAUUACGACAGACUUGACUCACAGACUUGCAGGAAGUUCGUAUAUAGGGGCUGUCAGGGGAAUGACAGCAACUUCUGGCAUUUGAAAGAGUGUAGGUGAACCUGUAGAUGAGUUCCAAGGAAUGGCAAGGAUGCAAAACAACGUACUUCCACAUAAACAAGUUGAAAGAGUGAAGAAUGAUGAACAACAACAGCACUCAAUUUUUUAGCACAGUUUUUUGAGAAUUUUGCAGCAGGUCGCAGCCUGUGGCACCAGCACAGCAGCACAACCCACUUGUGGAUUCAAGCAAUCUUUCAAUACAAACGCUGAUGAUGCUAC